rnacentral:lncRNA from 1 species
UUUUCAACAAAACUAACUUAAUAGGCAUUAACCCUCCCUCCCCCACACUGAUGAACGAUAGCUCAUUUGAACAAAACCCGCCUUAUAGGCAUGAGACUUCUCUCUUUGUCCGACGAACUCGAAGUCAUCUAAGCUACACUUGGACAAAAUCCACCUGGAUCUACUGAAACAUCAACAAUGUAUUUGUGAUUCAUGGUAUGUUGCUGCUCUUAUUUAUUUAACUCUCGUUGUCUCUUCUCGAUUUUUCAUAAUUUUGAGCUAGGUUUUUCUAUUCAUAGAUGGGGAUUUUUUUUAUUAAAGUAUUGCUGCACCUUUUGGCCAUUUCUAAGUUACUCAAACAAUUCAAAGAAAGUAAAUUUAUCAUCCCUUUUUAAUCGACUAAAUGAAUUGAUCUCCCGAUCGCUACUUUCCAUGUCCAAAUGGCAAGAUAUAUGUGUAGUUUUCAAAGCUACUUUUCCGUUUUAAUCGUUUGAUUGAGACUUGCAGUUAUAAAUGAGCCUUAGAAAAUAAUUACUAAUGAAUUUCAUAAUCUUACAUUUGUGUAAUUGACAGCCAAGGCAUUGGCAGAGAAUGGAUUUGAACCACUUUACAAGCAUAAUUUUACAACAGAUCCAAAUGAGCAAGAAAACAUUUGCUUGUUACCUUUCUACAAUAACUGGUCCUGUUGAACUUUUUAUUUGUCAUCUGCCAAAGUGGCUUUCUGCAGGGAUCGUCCCUAUCUUUUAGAGCUCCAUCUGGAUAUAUAGGAGGCUUGGAGCUACUAUAAGGUAAUUGAUGGAGUGGAUUGCAACUCACUUUUAGAACGCAAUUCCAUUGCACAUCCACACCAAAUAGAUCGAGACUUCUUCGUUGUGUAGAACUAGGUUAUGCAGCAAAUAUUUUUUUUAAGUUUUCUAUUUCUCAAGCAAUAACUUUUAAAUAUCCGAAUUGUGCCUUUUAGCUGUGAACUCUCUGAUAAUUUUUUUGGAUCUGUUAGUUGAGGGAUUAAAAUCACUCACUUGAUAUAAUUGAAGGUUAAUAGUGCUAAGGUAGAUAACACAAGGAUUAAAAUAAGAAUAUAGCCUUAACACAGGGACUAAAAGUGCUGUUUUUCCGGACUGUUAAUUUAUUAUUUAUUUAAUCCAUUUCUUGCUGAUAUUUUUUGUAAAAUAUUAGGAUGGUUGUGUGUGCCGAUUCGAUUUCAG